GGAGGGGCCCUGAUCCUUGCGGGUGCGAUCAUACCAGAUCCCAUCAGAACUCCGCAGUUAAGCGCGGUCGGGCUAGAGUAGUACUGGGAUGGGUUACCUUCUGGGAAGUCCUAGUGUUGCACUCU
rfam:Picea glauca, whole genome shotgun sequence.